UUUAGAUUAGGCUAAUUGUAAUCAGUUUAAAUUAGUCGAGCCAUCAGCUCAGUCAUCUGCAAGUAAGCUUUUUCAUAACAGAUUAGUAGUUGACUUGGGCGGUUAAGAAACACCAGGAGCAACUAAAAAUUUCAGGCUAAUUGUUUGCGCAGGAAAAAAAAAAUAGGCCCAUUGACAUUUGCCAACAAGUCCAAAUGAAAAACAAAAAAGUUGUGACCUUCCUUGAUUUGGCGCCAAAACCCGCGACGAUUGCAGCAGUGUGAGAGUGAUGGAGGUGCAGUUGCAGAGCGAUCCAUGGGAGUGGGAGAAGCCAAUGGCCACUUAUCUGCUCCGCUACCACUCCGACCAGCUCCGAUCCAUCGCUUCCUCUCCCGAUCCCAAUCUUCACUAUCCUCUCUUCAUUGACUUCGCAGAGUUGAUGGAGGAACAUCCUCACCUUGCGCGUCUCAUAUUCUCCCAACCCACCCCUUACUUGCAAGCCUUCGACAAUGCUGCUCUCUUGUCUCAUAGAAUUGUGGUGAGAGAUUUAGAGCAAGAGAAGAAUGUUGUUGAGAAAAAUUUCAUUCAUGUUCGAAUUAACAUCAGUGGUUCUCCCCUUGAAUGCUCUGAGACGUUUCCGACCAUAGGGCGUGUUCGAGUGCAGCAUCGCGGAAUUCUUCUCACUGUGAAAGGGACUGUAAUCAGGUCUGGAGCAAUCAAGAUGCAUGAAGGAGAGAGGAAGUAUAUGUGCAACCAAUGCAAGAAGAGCUUCACAGUUUAUCCUGAGGUUGAAGCUCGAAACUCCAUAUCAUUACCUUCAAUUUGCCCCAUGCAGAAAUUGAAGCCCUGUGGAGGCACAAAAUUUCAGUAUGUAGAAAAUACUGUAGUAUGCCAUGAUUAUCAGGAGAUAAAAAUCCAAGAAAGUACACAGGUGCUAGGUGUUGGGGCCAUUCCUCGUUCAAUUCUUGUCAUCUUGCAUGAUGAUCUGGUUGAUGUUGUUAAAGCUGGAGAUGAUGUGAUUGUCACUGGUCUCUUGACUGCAAAAUGGUCUCCAGAGUUGAAAGAUGUGCGCUGUGACCUUGAUCCUGUAUUAAUAGCCAACAGUGUAAGGAGGACCAAUCAAUUGAAGUCAGAAAUGGACAUUUCUGAUGACUUAGUUACAAAAUUCAAGCAGUUCUGGGACCAUUUCAAAGAUGCACCCUUAAAAGGGAGGAAUGCUAUUCUUCGAGGAAUUUGCCCACAAGUAUUUGGCCUGUUUACUGUCAAGCUGGCCGUUGCAUUAACACUUAUAGGAGGUGUUCAACAUGUUGACGCUUCUGGAACAAGGGUAAGAGGGGAAUCCCACUUACUCUUGGUUGGUGAUCCCGGCACUGGAAAGUCUCAGUUUCUGAAAUUUGCAGCGAAAUUGAGCAAUAGAUCUGUUAUUACCACUGGGCUGGGAAGCACAAGUGCUGGAUUGACGGUUACUGCAGUCAAGGAUGGAGGUGAGUGGAUGUUGGAAGCUGGAGCCCUUGUUUUAGCAGAUGGAGGAUUGUGCUGCAUAGAUGAAUUCGAUAGCAUGAGGGAACAUGACAGGGCAACAAUACAUGAAGCCAUGGAGCAGCAAACAAUAAGUGUAGCCAAGGCUGGUCUUGUAACAACACUCAGCACUAGAACAACGGUAUUUGGUGCCACAAAUCCUAAAGGGCAAUAUGACCCCGAUCAACCUCUGUCUGUCAAUACAACACUCUCUGGUCCUUUACUUAGCAGGUUUGAUAUUGUCCUUGUGCUCUUGGAUACAAAGAAUCCUGAAUGGGAUGCAGUAGUUUCAUCUCAUAUUCUUUCUGAGGCAGAACCUGAUAGAGCCAACAACGAUGAAGAUCUAGCAAAAGUCUGGCCACUUUCUACACUCAAGAGGUACUUACACUAUGUGAAAGAAACUUUCAAGCCAGUACUUACAAGAGAGGCCGAAAGAGUCAUAUCUAGCUAUUAUCAACUUCAAAGGAAGUCUGCAACUCAUAAUGCAGCCAGGACCACCGUCCGGAUGCUGGAAAGUUUAAUACGCCUAGCUCAAGCUCAUGCAAGGCUGAUGUUCAGAAAUGAAGUGACCCGAUUAGAUGCCAUCACAGCAAUUUUAUGCGUAGAGUCCUCAAUGACUACCUCAGCUAUAGUGGAUUGCAUUGGGAAUGCCCUGCACUCCAAUUUUACUGAAAACCCUGAUCAGGAAUGUAUCCUUGCUAGAUGCUAAGCAAGAAAGACUGAUCCUGGAAAAGUUGGGAUCAAUAGAUGACUUCUCUGAUAUGAACAGAAUGGGAGACUGAAGGACAAGGGAGGAUAACAAAAUUGAAGUCCUGUAUAUUGAAUCAUUAAAGUGAUUAUUUUUAGUUAGCUCUGCUAUUAGUUGGCACAGGAUAACAAAAUUGAAGUCUUGUAGAUUAAUCACGAAAGUGAUUACUUUUAGUUAGCUAUGUUAUUUAGUUGGCAUAAGGAAGGGGACAAAACAUUUUAUUUCUCUUACUAGACAAUUAGAUAGAUGCCUUUCCUAUCUUUGUCUUUUCUAUAGUCUUUAUUUACUAUGUACUUUCGGUCUGUUCAGAGGGGCACUCAAUUUGAAUGAUGAUUUUGUUGUAUUAGCCUGAAUAUAAAUGUUUGUAGGUUUGCAACUCUUAUUUGGCAAUUAAAGCGAGUGUUAAGACAAUAAAUGAAUCUCGCAGAAUAUCAAGAUUUCAAGCUUCACUUACUAGUCUCGUCUUCUGAAUUCUAAUUCUGAUGUGGAAAUGCAUAAUGACUAAUGAGGUAUUUCUUGCAGCUCUCUCAAACACGUUUAUUUACCUAGUAGUACUCAUUUCUAUUCGACUGGAUAAAGUAUAGUAAUAAAUAUAAGAUUGAGUAUUGUUGUUAUCGAGAGUUAAUACCUCCUAGUUCUUCCUUUCACAUUCCUCAAGUGCAUCACAAUUGAGUAUCUGAGUCUUCUGCAAUGUCUCAGAUACUCAUACAACAGCAGCAGCAGAUUACACAUUUCAAAGCUCAUCAUAACCUCAUUUAUUGAUGAGUAAUUAUUGGAUAACAUUAUUUGCAAGUAUUGUAUAAUAAUUCAAUCUGUCACACUACAGUACAGGAUAAGAAUGAUGCUGCACCGAAACCAGAGCUUCACCUAUCACAGGGCCACUAAUUCAUAAUUAACACUAGUAAUCAACUUAAAAAUGAUAUUAGUGUACUCCAUCAUGGUACAUCCUUGAAUGUACGACAUGACUUGUUCAAUGCAAUUAUAUUUUGUCAAUUUACAGUAUCCUAAGUGGGAAGAAAUAAUAACAUAUAGUCUUAAUGUUUAUUAAAAUGCCAUGAAUAAAGUAAGCUUGAAAAUAGCACCACAUUAUAGAUAACACUGACAAAAGAAAGAAUAAAUCACAAAUAGGAACACCGUCAAACCAGGCUAAACCUCCAUCAAUGAAGAUCAUAUCGAUUUCAAAUCUUGAAUGUAGGUUUCCAUAAAACCCUUUAUCAGAAUUUCAAUUAUUGUUUGUAAACUAAAUGUGACCCUGCUAAAACUAAGAAGACAAAUAAAGCUGAAGGCAGAAAAUUGAAAAAUUGUGUUUA